rfam:Schistosoma curassoni strain Dakar, Senegal genome assembly, scaffold: SCTD_scaffold0006737
GCUGAGGAGUCCCACAAUAGGACGAAACGGCUGUCC